AGCAUCGCGUUCCGAUCUGCAGCUGCCCGAGCAGCGCCGGGUUCUUCAUCAUCAUCAUCAUCGUCAUCAGAAGACGCGUGUCGGGAUGUGCCGCCCCCCAGAUCAGGGGCCAGCACCGCUCACAGCGCAGGGCUGCAGCUCCCGUGGAAAGAAUUGUUGCCGGGGUUUCAGCUUUGACUCACGGCCUCCGAGACAGGAUCCCUUGUCAGCAGGGGCUAUCUGGGGAACACCCGCUCCGUGUUGCCAGGCGCCUCGACCAGAGGGACCGGCACCUUCUCCUGCUGCUUCCUUUUGUUUUCCAGAACAUGGUCACGAUGUACGUGCAUGGGGCUGAGCUCUGCAUGCCCCAAAAGGGCUCUGUUUCAAGAGACAGGAGGGGCUGGGGAAGGUCUGCAAGCAGAUAUCUGGCUGUGACACCAUGUGUCUUGGGGGUUACCUGCGGCCUUUUGUCACCUGGAUGUCCUUGGCAUGCUGGGGGCCCAGCAUGGCAGGGGAUGUUGGGCUGUCCUUGGCCAGGUGGGCAUCCCUAGGAAAGAGAAUUUGGAAUGAUCAGAUGGGCAGGGAACAAACUCAAGCUAUUUUAGCUCUCACUUUCCCUCGAAGCUUAAGGCAUGCUUUAACCUUCUGGAUAUUCUUCUGUUUUCUUUCCAACAUCUGAUUUGAAAGGCUUUGCUUUCUGACAAAAUAGGAAUGAAGCUCUACUUGCCCCCAUGCCUUGGCUGGGGCAGUCUAACAUCCCCAGCCCAAGUCCCCACAUCCAAGGGAAGAGCUGUGAAGGAGGUCCGUCCCAGGGAGAUGCAGUAGGUUUGGCUGUGCUGGGAUGGAACAUCCAUGCUGAGCAGGGAGGGACCUGCUCCUGCCGGGCUGCCUUACCACGUCCCACCAGCCCCGCUGAUUGCAGGGGUAGAUUUGCUCAACUCGGUUCAUCCUCAGCCUCCAAACAGCACAUGGAGGCCCAGAGAACAAAGGAAGAAACUUCUUCUCCACCCCUUUCAGCAACACUUCCCUUCGUGUGCUGCUGGGUUUGAUGUCCGUAAGAAAGUCCCUCCUCCCCAUGGAAGACAAAGCCCAAGAAAGAAAUCAUGGGACUUAUUUUCUGAGGCCAGAGUUCUGGCGAGACCUCAUUUGAAACCACCUAAAUUUGAGGAAUAUGUAUUUAAAAUGCGAUGCUAUGAAAACCUGGUAAAUAUUUAAUUUUAUUUUUAUUAAAUACUAAAUUGAUGAUGGCUGACACUUUAUUAAAGUGUCAAAGUGAGUGUUCCUACAUUCUAAUUACUUAUCCUAACAAGGAGGCAGCCUCGUCAGGAGCCGCGCGCUGGCGUGCGCAGGCGAGGGGCGCUCCCGUUAAGUAACACCUAUUAAACUAUCAUUUGCACCUUGAGGCAUCUCAUUAAUAUCUCAACUGGUGAGACUGCGCUGCCAGUGCCUACCUGACCCGGGGCACUGGCAGGAGAAAUGGCUCCGGGAGUCCUUUCCUCGCUCCAGGCAUUCGUGCACAAAUAAUUCCUAUAAAAUUAAUAAUGGCUAUGCCACUUAAUUGAAUUCCUGAUAAAUGAAGAUUCUUCCAAGUCCCUUCUACAUGCGUCCGAGAGAUGCAAGAGGAUUGCUGCACUACACUUGGGGGAAAGUUUUGUUCUCCACCCUCCUCCUCGCUUUCUUUCUUCCUCUCUCCAACUCUCUUUCCACGCUGUGUCCUCCUGCUCCCUCCCCAUCAUUCUUUUCCUCCUCCUCCCAUACCUGCCUUUUCUUUUCUGCAGCACUUUCUCUUCUGACUCUUCCAUUUGGCUCCCUGCCACUUCUCCAUGAUCUCCAUGAUCCAAGAUAGAUAGUCAAGAUCUAUCUUUAUGCUAUCUCCACCAUUCAUAUUCCUUCUGUAGAUUUCUCAGUCUUUUCUCUCUUAUCUCCCCAUCUUGCCCCGCUUCCAUUUUGCUUUCCAUUUCACCAAUAACAACCUUUUUUCUCAGGUUUCCGUUCAGGCCUUGGUCACAUUGCCUUGGAGGAAUGUUCUUGUGGUAUGAGAUCUCUGUUGGACGUGGACAUGGCAGCACAUCUUCAGACCUGUCUGCUCACCAAGAAGAGAUGUCCUCCCUCAUACUGGAUAUUGCCAUAGCCAAAAAACUCACAGAAUCUGCAGAUCUCCUCUCAUCCCAUCUUCCCCGUGGAUGAGGAAACAACUGUAUGAGAAGAGGAGGAACCUGUCCUCAAGACAUGGUCAAAUCUGCGACCACCUGGAUGCCAAAUCAUUGCAAGAAAGGAGUAUAGUUCAAAGGAUUGGAGGGAGAAAAUGAUGUUUCGUUGCCUCCCCCCAGGGCUGAGUGAGGCAAGGGAAGCUCUGCUCUUGGCUCCCUUGGGUGCUGAGGUUGCAGGUAGGGAAACGCUGUGCUCCAUGGACUAGGUAAGUUAUUUCCUACAGCUUUUCUGCCUCCCUCCCUUCAUGGUCCCGAAUGGCAGACUGCUGGAAGAAACUGGUUGAUGUUUGCUGUGUUACAACAACAUUUGCUAAUUCUUAAAUUAAAAGGGGGUUAAUAAGUGUGCUGAUGGUGGGCUUGGAGGGGAGGAGGGGGCUGCAGCCCUGGUGGCCAGGUGAGGACGGCUGGGGCAGUGCUGCUAUCCAAGCCCCUCUUCUUGCCCCCUGACCUUUCUAGUUUGAUGCAGAUGUCACUGUGCCCACCACCAAGAUCCUCACCAACCUGGAGAAAUCCCAGCUGGGUGUUCACAGCUCUGAGCUUCACUGCCAAGGAUUCAGCCACUCACUCCUGUUGUUGCUGCACCAGGACUGGGACUCAGCUCAGAGGCCCCCCAAGUGUUCAGAUCAACUGCACCAUCAAGGCCUGCAUGGAAAAGGAUUUCCCCUCCCUCAGACCUUCUGGCCAUUGGCCCAGAGGCUCAGCUAUGGAUUAUGUUUGUUCUCCAGGAACAGCCAUCGUGCUGCUCCUUGUGGGCAUACUGCAGGGAUGCUAGAGCCAGAGAGCAAUGGAUGUUAUGGAGAUGGAGCCACACAAGCACCAGUGACAGCUGAGUGAUGACAUGAAGGUUCUGGUUCCAUUAACCAUCAAUUUGAUAAUAAACAGUAAGAGCCAGAUGUCAUAGGAGCACCUCUAUGCCUUGGUGCUGGUGGCAAGUUUCACACCUUCAGCUCUUCUAAUAAGACAUCAUUUCAUCUCGCAGUGCUCCACUCAAAAUGUUUAUUAUAGCUACACUGAUAGGUACUGCAAGAUCUCAUUACUUAUCUGCACUAUUUUUAUUUUGGAUAGAUAAUAGAAAAAUUGUAUGAAGGGCAGUUAUAGAUUCCUAAAACUAAAACUGUGAUUUUGAUUUAUUCCAGUUUGUGGGCUGCUAAACAAAGUUUUUCAGCAGAGGCACAGACUUCUUUGUGCUUUCACUGGAGCAUGAAAGAUUUUGCUUCCUUUCACGGCCUUCCACAGCCUUCAUUUCACAGCCCAUAGGGGUCUGCAGGCCACCAUUCAGAAACC